rnacentral:rRNA from 1 species
CACCUCUAGCAUUACCAGUAUUAGAGGCACUGCCUGCCCAGUGACAUUAGUUAAACGGCCGCGGUAUCCUGACCGUGCAAAGGUAGCAUAAUCAUUUGUUCCUUAAUUAGGGACUUGUAUGAAUGGCCCCACGAGGGUUUAACUGUCUCUUACUUUUAAUCAGUGAAAUUGACCUUCCCGUGAAGAGGCGGGAAUACAAAAAUAAGACGAGAAGACCCUAUGGAGCUUAAAUUAAUAUGUUCAACAGAAUUUAAUUAUAGCCCAAUAGGAAUAAAAAUAUUCUAACUGAACAAUAAAUUUUGGUUGGGGUGACCUCGGAGUAUAACACAACCUCCGAGCAAUUAAACCAAGACUUACCAGUCAAGGCUAUAUAACUUAUUGAUCCAAUCUUAUUGAUCAACGAAACAAGUUACCCUAGGGAUAACAGCGCAAUCCUAUUUAAGAGUUCAUAUCGACAAUAGGGUUUACGACCUCGAUGUUGGAUCAGGACACCCAAAUGGUGCAGCAGCUAUUAAAGGUUCGUUUGUUCAACG